GCAGUCGUGGUUCAGUGGUAGAAUUCUCGCCUUGCACGUGGGAGACCUGGGUUCGAUUCACGACCAAUGCA
rnacentral:tRNA from 1 species